UCCCUCUUAGCUCAGUUGGUAGAGCGCGUCACUAGUAAAAAGUAAUGACGAGGUCAGUCGUUCAAAUCGGCUAGCGGGAA